AUAACCUGCUGUACAGCUAAAUCAUUUUACAAAUACGUCUUUCCUCCUUUUCCCUAGGAAUGCUUUGCCUUUUAUCUUUCCUUUGGAAGCAGUAUCCAUAAGCCUUCAUCAGAAGCUUCUAAAAGUGGAAGGGAUUUUUCUUUGUUAGAAAGGACCACGGGCUAAUUAAAGGAGAUUGCUAUAAGCUGCUUUCAUGUUGUAUCAGAGUAAGAUGGACGGUAGCUUUGAUUGUGAUUGUGGUGAGCUGGAGCCACCUGAUCACUAACAAAAGACAUCUUCUGUUAACCAACAGCCGCCAGGGCUUCCUGUUGAAAUAAAUAUAUAGCAACAAAGGAAAAAAAGAAGCAAAACGGAAAUAGUGCUUACCAGCACCUUAGAAUGAUGCUGCUCAGGACCAGUCCAACACUGAAUGUAUCUGCACUGUGAGGAGAAUGUUCAUAGAAGCCUGUUGUGUGCAUAUUUAUUCACAUUUUUGUUAAAUGUUAAAUCGUUUAGCACGGUAAUCUGAGUGCACAGUAUGUCAUUUCAUUCCGUUUGAGUUUCUUGUUUUCGUUAAAUGUCUGCAGAGUUGCUG
rnacentral:lncRNA from 1 species